UACGUAGGGGGCAAGCGUUGUCCGGAUUUAUUGGGCGUAAAGAGCGUGUAGGCGGUCAGGUAGGUCCGUUGUGAAAACUCGAGGCUCAACCUCGAGACGCCGAUGGAAACCAUCUGACUAGAGUCCGGAAGAGGAGAGUGGAAUUCCUGGUGUAGCGGUGAAAUGCGCAGAUAUCAGGAAGAACACCCCGUGGCUAAGGCGGCUCUCUAGUACGGUACUGACGCUGAGACGCGAAAAGCGUGGGGGAGCGAACAGG
rnacentral:rRNA from 1 species